rnacentral:rRNA from 1 species
UACGGGGGGAGCAAGCGUUGUUCGGAAUUACUGGGCGUAAAGGGCUCGUAGGCGGCCAACUAAGUCAUACGUGAAAUCCCUCGGCUUAACCGGGGAACUGCGUCUGAUACUGGAUGGCUUGAGAUUGGGAGAGGGAUGCGGAAUUCCAGGUGUAGCGGUGAAAUGCGCAGAUAUCAGGAGGAACACCGGUGGCGAAGGCGGUUCUCUGGGAAUAUCCUGACGCUGAGGAGCGAAAGUGUGGGGAGCGAACAGG